CCUACGGGUGACAGCAGUGAGGAAUAUUGGUCAAUGGACGAGAGUCUGAACCAGCCAAGUAGCGUGAAGGAUGACUGCCCUAUGGGUUGUAAACUUCUUUUAUAUGGGAAUAAAACGUUCCACGUGUGGGAUUUUGUAUGUACCAUAUGAAUAAGGAUCGGCUAACUCCGUGCCAGCAGCCGCGGUAAUACGGAGGAUCCGAGCGUUAUCCGGAUUUAUUGGGGUUAAAGGGAGCGUAGGUGGAGUGUUAAGUCAGUUGUGAAAGUUUGCGGCUCAACCGUAAAAUUGCCGUUGAAACUGGCAGUCUUGAGUACGGUAGAGGUGGGCGGAAUGCGUGGUGUAGCGGUGAAAUGCUUAGAUAUCACGAAGAACUCCGAUUGCGAAGGCAGUUCACUGGACUGCAACUGACACUGAGGCACGAAAGUGUGGGUAUCAAACAGGAUUAGAUACCCUUGUAGUC
rnacentral:rRNA from 1 species